CCUACGGGAGGCAGCAGUAGGGAAUAUUGCUCAAUGGGGGAAACCCUGAAGCAGCAACGCCGCGUGGAGGAUGAAGGUUUUCGGAUUGUAAACUCCUUUUGUUAGAGAAGAUAAUGACGGUAUCUAACGAAUAAGCACCGGCUAACUCCGUGCCAGCAGCCGCGGUAAUACGGAGGGUGCAAGCGUUACUCGGAAUCACUGGGCGUAAGGAGCGCGUAGGCGGGAUAGCAAGUCAGAUGUGAAAUCCUAUGGCUUAACCAUAGAACUGCAUUUGAAACUGUUAUUCUAGAGUAUGGGAGUGGUAAGUGGAAUUCUUGGUGUAGGGGUAAAAUCCGUAGAGAUCAAGAGGAAUACUCAUGGCGAAGGCGACCUGCUAGAACAUAACUGACGCUGAUGCGCGAAAGCGUGGGGAGCAAACAGGAUUAGAUACCCUAGUAGUC
rnacentral:rRNA from 1 species